rnacentral:rRNA from 1 species
GCUUGUCUCAAAGAUUAAGCCAUGCAUGUCUAAGUGUAAAUACGUCUACACUGUGAAACUGCGAAUGGCUCAUUAAAUCAGUUAUCGUUUAUUUGAUGAUCUCUUGUUACAUGGAUAACCGUAGUAAUUCUAGAGCUAAUACAUGCGUCAAGCCCCGACUCACGAAGGGGUGUAUUUAUUAGAUUGAAACCAACCGCUUCGGCGUGAUGUGGUGAUUCAUAAUAAAUUUGCGAAUCGCAUGGCUUUACGCCGGCGAUGGAUCAUUCAAGUUUCUGCCCUAUCAGCUUUCGAUGGUAGUGUAUUGGACUACCAUGGCAGUAACGGGUAACGAAGAAUUAGGGUUCGAUUUCGGAGAGGGAGCAUGAGAAACGGCUACCACAUCCAAGGAAGGCAGCAGG